rnacentral:rRNA from 1 species
CAGCCGCCGCGGGAAUACGUAGGGUGCAAGCGUUAAUCGGAAUUACUGGGCGUAAAGCGUACGCAGGCGGUUUGUUAAGACAGAUGUGAAAUCCCCGGGCUCAACCUGGGAACUGCAUUUGUGACUGGCAAGCUAGAGUGUGGCAGAGGGGGGUGGGAUUCCGCGUGUAGCAGUGAAAUGCGUAGAUAUGCGGAGGAACACCGAUGGCGAAGGCAGCCCCCUGGGCCAACACUGACGCUCAUGCACGAAAGCGUGGGGAGCAAACAGGAUUAGAUACCCCAGUAGUCCCUGUCUCUUAUAC